AUUGAACGCUGGCGGCAUGCCUAACACAUGCAAGUCGAACGGAGGUAGGGGCAACUCUACUUCAGUGGCGGACGGGUGAGGAAUGCGUCGGAAUCUACCCUAUGGUGGGGAUAACACAGGGAAACUUGUGCUAAUACCGCAUAAUGUCGAGAGACCAAAGCAGGGGACCGCAAGGCCUUGCGCGAUAGGAUGAGCCGACGCCCGAUUAGCUAGUUGGUAGGGUAAAGGCCUACCAAGGCGACGAUCGGUAGCUGGUCUGAGAGGAUGAUCAGCCACACUGGGACUGAGACACGGCCCAGACUCCUACGGGAGGCAGCAGUGGGGAAUAUUGGACAAUGGGCGCAAGCCUGAUCCAGCAAUGCCGCGUGUGUGAAGAAGGCCUGCGGGUUGUAAAGCACUUUUGUUCGGGAAGAAAUCAUGCUGGUUAAUACCUGGUAUGGAUGACGGUACCGAAAGAAUAAGCACCGGCUAACUUCGUGCCAGCAGCCG
rnacentral:rRNA from 1 species